GAUGAACGCUGGCGGCGUGCCUAAUACAUGCAAGUCGAGCGAACGGACGAGAAGCUUGCUUCUCUGAUGUUAGCGGCGGACGGGUGAGUAACACGUGGAUCACCUACCUAUAAUACUGGGAUAACUUCGGGAAACCGGAGCUUAUACCGGAUAAUAUUUUGAACCGCAUGGGUCAAAAGUAAAAGACGGUCUUUCUGUAUCUUAUAGAUGGAUCCGCGCUGGAUUGGCUAGUUGGUAAGUUAACGGCUUAUCAAGGCAACGAUGCAUAGCCGACGUGAGAGAGUGAUCGGCCGCACUGGAACUGGGACACGGUCCAGGCUACUACGGGAGGCAGCAGUAGGGAAUCUGCCGCAGUGGGCGAAAGCCUGACGGAACAACGCCAAGUGAGUGGUGAAGGUCUUCGGAUCGUAAAGCUCUGUUAUUAGGGGAGAACAUAUGUGUAAUGAGCUGUGCAGAUAUUGACGGUACCUAAUAAGGAAGCCACGGCUAACUACGUG
rnacentral:rRNA from 1 species